rnacentral:lncRNA from 1 species
UUUUUAUUAAUUAGUAAUUGGAAAGCAAAUAAAUAUAGUGUAUUAUAUUACCAUAAACUUUUCAUAUUAAUAUUAUAUAUCAUGGGCUGUCAACCUGAAUAUCCCUUCUCUCUUUUUUCGUGGGUUCCUCUCAAUACUAGAGGAAAUGAAAAGUAGAGACAAACCUUAGUGCUAGUCUGCAUUCACGUUUGUCUGCUUCCUUGAGUGAUAAUUUCACGAACAAAGUGGACGAACCUGCACAAGCUCCUCCUGCACACCUUUACUUGCAAGGAAAUUUUUUUUUUUUUUUUUUCGAUAGAUUCUUCUCAAAACCAUGAUGAAAUAAUAUAAUCUUAUUAUACUAAUAUACUAGCUAUAUAGCAUAUUAUAUAAAAUAUGCAAAAAGUGAUGGAUAUCAAGCUUGCUACUGCCUUUCCACCUGCAGAGCAAGUUAAAUAGUGUAGGAUGAUACUAAAGUAAUUGAAAGAUAAGGAAGCAGAGGACUUAUUAUUUUUUCAGUGGGUUCUCUAUUCUUUCGGUGGGUUCUAUCAAUACCAAAGUGCAGAACACUAUCUCUUCCCUCUUUUGUGGCUGCUAUGCUUCCACCUGGUUUGAGUUGCUUCUCUUCACCUUUGCUUGCUUGUUUGCCCAUAAACCCUUCAUCACCUCUUGAGUGGUGUUGAGCUUGUAAACUUGGCCAAGAACAAGAGCAUUAGUUGACUGGUCUUAUAUGCAUUGAUCCAACGUCGCCAUCUCCAUUCUCAAACUCUACCAGAAGUGAUAGCCAAAAUUUGUUGAACCUUCAUUUACGUGGAAGGCCACCUGCCUCCCAGGAUAUUUACAUGGCGUAGAGGGGUUUUAUUAUUUUAUCACUAUUUUUGUUAGGAUUGGAGGGGCACAAGGUGGUGGAGAUGAGCAGAUCAACAUAGUGGCUAGGAUUGGUCUUUGUGAUCUCACUU